GGCACAAUGGGGUGGUUCCAUGGCCCAGAAGCACUCUAGCUACAGAUUAGUUUAUUUCAGGACUAUAUUAAGUUUCCCAACUUCUGUCAUGAUAUAGUCCAAAGAGAACCUGGACCACGCAGACAUCAAACAGAACAUGACACUGACCCAUUCUAUCAGUGACGUUGUGCUGAUUGCACAGGACAGAUGAGAGGCUCGUAUACUAGAAGUCUUGGUGGUUAUCAAACCUGGGUCAAAGUUGAAUCACCUGAGGAUCUUUUAGAACAUACACAGUCAUAUGAUACUUCAAAAUCUGUGAUUCCAUGAAGCCAAGAGUAGCUCUUCAACAGGAAAUGAAUGAGUGCUUCAGCUUCUGAUCCCAUUAGUAAGAAAAUACAGUCUUAUGAGCAAUGAUGGAGCUGCAUCUCUUAGGGGCAUUUGAUUCCCAAGAGACCAAAGAGCAAAGAGAAUGUCAAUUUAAAAAAAUCAAAUGUUUCCAUGACUUAGCUAUUUAACUGCUUUAAAAUGAAUGAAUGCUGCUUCAAGUUCUUUCAAAUACCCCACAUCUUGGCAACAACGAAAGGAAUUAACAUGAAGAAAAUUUACAAUCUUUCAUCACAUCGAACAAUGUCCCACAUUUGAAAAGUUCACAGCACAGAUUUCUGGUUACUGAAAGAAAGGAAAGACCUUCUUUGGAUUUGAAUAAACAGAUGGACUUUCUUCUCCUUUUUCUUAUAGUGCCCGAUUUGUGUAAAGGGAGGUGGGAAGAAAACAUCUUAGCUUAAAAGAGUGUCCUAUAAAAUAAAAGGUUUCAUACUUGCCUA
rnacentral:lncRNA from 1 species